CCAGAUUCACUAGAAGUCUUACUUUCUACCCUAUAUCUCCUUUUUAAUUAGCUCUCAGGUGAUAUAGUCCUUCAUCAACUCCUCCCCUUUCCCUCACAGGAAUUCUCCUUCGGCUCCUUCUGGCAUAUAAUCAUCUUCUCAAUCAACCCUUCCAUAUAACCAAGGGAAUUUUUAUUGGUUUUCCGUUCUUAUUUGAUGCAGUGCGAGGAUUCAAAGGUGUUCACAGAGUGCAAUGCAC
rnacentral:lncRNA from 1 species